rnacentral:rRNA from 1 species
UACGUAGGGGGCUAGCGUUGUCCGGAAUCAUUGGGCGUAAAGCGCGUGUAGGCGGCCCGGUAAGUCCGCUGUGAAAGUCGGGGGCUCAACCCUCGAAUGCCGGUGGAUACUGUCGGGCUCGAGUACGGAAGAGGCGAGUGGAAUUCCUGGUGUAGCGGUGAAAUGCGCAGAUAUCAGGAAGAACACCCGUGGCGAAGGCGGCUCUCUGGGACGGUACUGACGCUGAGACGCGAAAGCGUGGGGAGCGAACAGG